UAAUAAUCGGGCAUAAACAUAUUACCGAAGCUAUGGAUUUAUAUUUAGGUAUAAGUGGUAGGGGAGCAUUCUAUUUGCGCAGAAGGUGUACUGUGAGGUAUGCUGGAGCGGAUAGAAAAGAAAAUGUAGGCAUAAGUAACGAUAAAGGGGGCGAGAAACCCCCUCACCGAAAGACUAAGGUUUCCUCAGCGAUGCUAAUCAGCUGAGGGUUAGUCGGGACCUAAGGCGAAUCCGAAGGGAGUAGUCGAUGGACAACAGGUUAAUAUUCCUGUACUUCUUAUAAUUGCGAUGGGGUGACGGAGUGAUGAAAGCACCGCGAACUGACGGAAUAGUUCGUUGAAACA
rnacentral:rRNA from 1 species